rnacentral:rRNA from 1 species
UGGGGAAUUUUGGACAAUGGGCGAAAGCCUGAUCCAGCAAUGCCGCGUGUGUGAAGAAGGCCUUCGGGUUGUAAAGCACUUUUGUCCGGAAGGAAAUCCUUGGCUCUAAUACAGUCGGGGGAUGACGGUACCGGAAGAAUAAGCACCGGCUAACUACGUGCCAGCAGCCGCGGUAAUACGUAGGGUGCAAGCGUUAAUCGGAAUUACUGGGCGUAAAGCGUGCGCAGGCGGUUUGCUAAGACCGAUGUGAAAUCCCCGGGCUCAACCUGGGAACUGCAUUGGUGACUGGCAGGCUAGAGUAUGGCAGGAGGGGGGUAGAAUUCCACGUGUAGCAGUGAAAUGCGUAGAGAUGUGGAGGAAUACCGAUGGCGAAGGCAGCCCCCUGGGCCAAUACUGACGCUCAUGCACGAAAGCGUGGGGAGCAAACAGGAUUAGAUACCCUGGUAGUCCACGCCCUAAACGAUGUCAACUAGUUGUUGGGGAUUCAUUUCCUUAGUAACGUAGCUAACGCGUGAAGUUGACCGCCUGGGGAGUACGGUCGCAAGAUUAAAACUCAAAUGAAUUGACGGGGUCAUAGCUGUUUCCU